AGGACGGUAUCCACUUGGAACCGUACCCAUUCAGAAUCAAAACACUCAAGAAUUCUUACUAAACUACUGAUCAUCAGCCUGCCUUGAUCCGUGCUGGACAGGGACAGAAGG
rfam:Bacillus beveridgei strain MLTeJB, complete genome.